rnacentral:rRNA from 1 species
GACAGAGGGUGCAAACGUUUGUUCGGAAUUACUGGGCGUAAAGCGCGUGUAGGCUGCUCGGAAAGUCGGAUGUGAAAGCCCUGGGCUUAACCUAGGAAGUGCAUUCGAAACUUCCGAGCUGGAGUUCUGGAGAGGAAGGCGGAAUUCUCGGUGUAGAGGUGAAAUUCGUAGAUAUCGAGAGGAACACCGGUGGCGAAGGCGGCCUUCUGGACAGUGACUGACGCUGAGACGGCGAAAAGCGUGGGGAGCGAACAGG